UACGAAGGUGGCUAGCGUUAUUCGGAAUUACUGGGCGUAAAGCGCGCGUAGGCGGAGUGGUAAGUCAGGGGUGAAAUCCCGGGGCUCAACCCUGGAAUUGCCUUUGAUACUACGAGUCUUGAGGUCGAGAGAGGUGAGUGGAAUUCCGAGUGUAGAGGUGAAAUUCGUAGAUAUUCGGAGGAACACCAGUGGCGAAGGCGGCUCACUGGCUCGAUACUGACGCUGAGGUGCGAAAGCGUGGGGAGCAAACAGG
rnacentral:rRNA from 1 species